GACGAACGCUGGCGGCGUGCUUAACACAUGCAAGUCGAACGGAAAGGCCCUGCUUUUGUGGGGUGCUCGAGUGGCGAACGGGUGAGUAACACGUGAGUACCCUGCCCUUGACUUUGGGAUAACUUCAGGAAACUGGGGCUAAUACCGGAUAGGCGCUCCUGCUGCAUGGUGGGGGUUGGAAAGUUUCGGCGGUUGGGGAUGGACUCGCGGCUUAUCAGCUUGGUGGUGGGGUAGUGGUUUACCAAGGCUUUGACGUGUAGCCGGCCUGAGAGGGUGAGCGGCCAUGGUGGGACGGAGAUACGGCGCAGACUCCUACGGGAGGCAGCAGGGGAGAAUAGUGCACAAUGGGCGGAAGCCUGAUGCAGCAACGCCGCGUGCGGGAUGACGGCCGUCGGGUUGUAAACCGCUUUCGCCUGUGACGAAGCGUGAGUGACGGUAAUGGGUAAAGAAGCACCGGCUAACUACGUG
rnacentral:rRNA from 1 species